UCAAUAAAACUUCUAUUUUCUUUAAGAACAUUCACAUAAAAAAGGUUUCCUUGUCUGAAAAAAAAUUAAAAAUGCAGCAAAAAAAAUUCACCAAAUUUCUGAAAAUGUGCAAAACGUAUCUGUUCUUUUUAAUGUUAACUAUUAAUAAGUAACGCUGAAGGCUUCAAUUAAGGAUUAUUAGAUUAUCGAUUAGUUCUUGAUUAAUCAGUUGUUUGGGUCUAUAAAAUGCCAGAAAAUGGUGGGAAAAAAAGCAAUUAGAGCUUCCAAAAAAGCCGAAGAUGACAUUCUCAAAUGUCUUGCUUUCUGCAGAAGCUAAAGAUAUUCAGUUUAUUGGUAUAUUUGUAUGAUUUUGUGAUCAAGUAGGUGUCCAGCUUGCAUGUUUUUUUCCUCACUGAGAGUAACACUUAUAUAUAUAUGUAUGUGUUCAUUUAUAAUAUGUUCUCCAAGACUUGUCAGGUCAGGUCAUGUUACCUGCUACUGGUACAAUGUAACCCAGUACAACCUGCCGCAUUGAAGAUGGGUAGAUGGUUUACCCAGGACUCAGUCUACAAAGAGCGUAUGAACUCUAUGAUCAGACAUAAAGUAGGGCCCCUUUGGGCGUAAAGUUGACCUUCCAACUUAACGGCAACCAAUGAACCUGCAGGACAUCACAGCCUCUCCUCUGAUUGAGAUGCACUACAGGCGAGUGAAGUACUUGAUAAGUACGAGGAGAACUCAGAUUGCUUUAACCCUCGUGUCGUCCUGCGAGUCAAAACUGACUCGUUUUAAAGUUUGAAAAUGUGGGGAAAAAAAUAUUUUCACAGUGAAACUUCUGAUGUCCACAUUUUUAACAUUUUUGGAACAUUUUUUGGUGGAAAAAAAAAAGAAAUGUUAGAAAUGUUUCUUUGAGAAGAACUCGCUGGAUUUUGUUUGAUUUUUUUUGUGAAUGUUAAGAAGGGUAGCUUUGAUAAUGUACACCUUUUAAAGGACUUUGUUUGGUUUAAAAUGUAACGCUGUUUUACAAUGCUCAUUUGAUGGAGGAUGAAACGUGAUUGUAGUUUGGUUCCAAGUCACACCUGUGGGAUUGUGGAUCAGAUGCAAUUCGACGGAUACGAUAAUUGUGACUUUUAAGUUUUGUUUCAAAUCUGUUGCUAUUAUUUGCUAAAGUGCUUUGUCUGAGCAGCUUAAUAUAUUGUCAGAAGCUAGCAUAAUGGACCCUUCUAAUGACAGAAAUGUGGCUUGAAAGACUUGCCUUUGGAAUCCGUCUAAUUAGAGACAAUUUUUGGCAAACUUUGUGUUGUAUCUGGAAUGUUUGUACGUCUUUAUUUCCACGGUGUCGGGAGAUAGAGGAGAAUAUAAAUGUUAAGACAUCUGUAUGAGUCUGGAGUAGUUACAGUUGGUUAUAGAUUUGUAAAGGUUCACUGUGUCACAAUAGUACUUAUCUAUAUGUUCUGUAAUCAUUUGACUAAAAAAAUUUCAUCUUUGAUUUGUUAUCGGGACUUCUGAGAAUAAGGUGUGGGAAGCUCGUUUGUUAGGAGUUCCUCCGCAUCGUCUCGUCUGGUCGGUUAAACUGGGGUACGUCGGUUCGCUGCAGGCUGUCGAGACGUGCUUGUGAAAACUGGUGUGAUGGAUAAACAAUGCCUUCACCAUUUCACUCAGGUGGAGGACAGUUGCACAAAGGAUGUGAGAAGUUUGACUAAUCGGUUUGACCUUUCUGCUGCGACAGAACUAAAGCGUAGCCACAAGAAGGGCCGCGGUGAUAAAACCUGAGUCAGAAUUCUCUCUCAGGUCCUUCUGGGGAAGUGUUUCUGCUGUUGGAGUGAGUGCACUUUAACUGGAAUGGAAAAAAAAGAGGUCACCAAAUGCCAUGUUUAUCUUAA